rnacentral:piRNA from 1 species
UGCCACCAAGCCUGAAAACCUGAGUUGGAC